rnacentral:rRNA from 1 species
UACAGAGGUCCCAAGCGUUGUUCGGAUUCAUUGGGCGUAAAGGGUGCGUAGGUGGCGCUGUAAGUCGGGUGUGAAAUCUCGGGGCUUAACUCCGAAACUGCAUUCGAUACUGCCGUGCUUGAGGACUGGAGAGGAGACUGGAAUUUACGGUGUAGCGGUGAAAUGCGUAGAUAUCGUAAGGAAGACCAGUGGCGAAGGCGGGUCUCUGGACAGUUCCUGACGCUGAGGCACGAAGGCCAGGGGAGCAAACGGG